UUCCCGAAUUUAAAAGAGCUAUAUUUUUUAUUGUAAUAAAUAUUAAUAAUAUGAAGUGAAAUUCUAAUAUAUCUGGUUUUUUUAGAAAAUUUAAUUUUACUAUGUUCUGAGGGAUGAGCUUUGGAUAGGAUUAGAAUUUUUGUUAUAUUUGUUCUAUCAAAAUUUAAUUUUUAAUUUUUUUAGUAAUUAUGAUUAGAUUAGUAUAAGGUUAAUUUAAGGAACUCGGCAAUAUUUUUCCGCCUGUUUAAUAAAAACAUGUCCUUUUGAAUUUAAUAUAAGGUCUAGCCUGCCCACUGAGGCUGCGGUACCCUGACCGUGCUAAGGUAGCAUAAUAAUUAGUUUUUUAAUUGAAAGCUGGAAUGAAAGGUUGGACGAGAAAAAAUCUGUCUCAGGUUAAUAUAAUUUUAUUUUUAAGUAAGAAAGCUUAAAUUUUUUAAAAAGACGAGAAGACCCUAUAGAGUUUAAUUUUAGUUGGGGUGACUGAAAAAUUAAUAAAACUUUUGAUUAAGAGAUUAAAUUACCUUAGGGAUAACAGCGUAAUUUUUCUAAGAGUUCUAAUCGAUAGAAGAGUUUGCGACCUCGA
rnacentral:rRNA from 1 species